AAAGAUAUGGAAUCAGAUGAGGAUGAGGUCAGAGGUGAUGCGUAGCGGAGGGGAUUGAAUCGGCAGAGGUGAUGUGUAGCGGAGAAGAUUUCGCGAUUAGAUUAGGAAGUAAUUGUUGACAUUUAAGAAAGCUGGAGAUGGCUCAAGAAGGUGGAAUUAUUAAUGAGCCGGUUAAUAUUAUUGAUAUGCCUGGUCACGUUGACUUCACCAUUGAAUUGGAGAGGGCACUACAUGUACUAGACGGUGCGAUUCUAGUUCUGUGCAGUGUUGGUGGUGUACAAAGUCAGUAUAUUACAAUUGAUAGGCAAAUGAGGAGAUAUGAAGUCCCCAGAGUUGCGUUCAUCAACAAGCUUGAUAUAAUGAGAGCAGAUCCAUGGAAA